GCGGGUGUAGUUCAAUGGUAGAACAUCGGCCUUCCAAGCCGAAUGUGAGGGUUCGAUUCCCUUCACCCGCUCCA
rnacentral:tRNA from 2 species